GGGGUUGUAGCUCAGUGGUAGAGCACAUGCUUCACAUACACAAGAACCUGGGUUCAAUUUCCAGUACUUCA
rfam:Ictidomys tridecemlineatus contig057287, whole genome shotgun sequence.